UAAACUGAUGCCUAGUGGUUUAGGGCGAACAGCUGUUAACUGUUAGUUGUGAGAUCGAGUCUCACCAGUUU
rnacentral:tRNA from 1 species